rnacentral:rRNA from 1 species
ACGGAAGGCAGCAGUGGGGAAUAUUGCACAAUGGGGGAAACCCUGAUGCAGCGAUGCCGCGUGAAGGAUGAAGGGUUUCGGCCUGUAAACUUUUAUCGAUAGUGAAGAAACAAAUGACGGUAACUAAGUAAGAAGCCCCGGCUAACUAUGUGCCAGCAGCCGCGGUAAUACAUAGGGGGCAAGCGUUAUCCGGAUUUACUGGGUGUAAAGGGUGCGUAGGCGGCAUGAUAAGUCAGUCGUUAAAGACCAAUGCUUAACAUUGGGAAUGCGGUUGAAACUAUCAAGCUAGAGUAUAGGAGAGGUAGAUGGAAUUACUAGUGUAGAGGUGGAAUUCGUAGAUAUUAGUAAGAACACCAAUGGCGAAGGCAGUCUACUGGCCUAAAACAGACGCUGAGGCACGAAAGUGUGGGGAGCAAACAGGAUUAGAUACCCUGGUA